GCGCGCGUAACUCAGCGGUAGAGUAUCACCUUCACACGGUGGGAGUCAUAGGUUCAAAUCCUAUCGCGCGCA
rnacentral:tRNA from 1 species